GUGAACCUUCGGCUGGAUCAUUACCGAUCCUAUGACACAUUCAUUCGUGCUCGUCACGAAGACGCGGAGCGUGCGCGCGCAACUUGUUGUGUGUGCCGCAACGCAUGAUGGGGUUCGUCGAUCUUCGCGGGUCGGUCGUUCCCCUACUACAUGUUCGCACGGAAGCCGAGAGGUGACCGUGCAACGGUAUUGUCUGGGUUUCUAUGCGCUGCGUUGAGUCGACGUGAUUACCGUGUCGACAGAUGAGACCAGCCGACUGCUUGCCGAUUCGUUCUGGCCGAGCGUAGGAUUGAAAAGCCCGAGCGGCUGCCCUGACAAAACAUUCAUUUUACAUUUAUUUUGUUGAUAAAGAAAUUUAAGUUACUCCGGUGGAUCACUUGGCUCGCGGGUCGAUGAAGAACGCACUGAAUUGCGAUAAUAAGUACGAAUUACAGAUAUUAUGAGUACCAUGUUUUUGAAUGCAUAUUGCGCUCUUGGGCUUUGCUCUUGAGCAUAUUCGAUUCAGGGUGUGUUGUUAAACUCGAAGCAGAAACGCCGACUUGUUUUACCCAAGUUUCUGCAUGUUGUUGAACAGUUGUCUCGCAUCUCCGCGAUGUUAGGCACCAUCUGUUUUGGUCGUUUCGGCCACACAUCUCUCUCCAAUACGACUACGCUGUUUGGUGGUGUGCGGUGGGGGGCUUCGCGCUCUCUUCUGUUCGUCGCCUAAACCGUUUGGUGAUGUUGUUCUCAGCGGCGCGACCGUUAAGGGCGUUCGGAUGCGAAUGUUUGAAGUCCUGGUUGUGCGUGUUGAGCUUCGUCGUGAAGCCUUGCGGGCAGUUGUUGUUCGGAAUUGGUUGAAACCACCUGAGUUGGGUAUGACUACCUGCUGAACUUAAGCAUAUCAGUAAGCAGAGGAAAAGAAACAAACAUGGAUUC
rnacentral:rRNA from 1 species